rnacentral:rRNA from 1 species
UGACGAACCAUGAUGUCAUUUAUUUGGUGUUGUGGGGAAUCAGGACUGUUACUUUGAAAAAAUUAGAGUGUUUAAAGCAGGCUCACGCUUGAAUACAUUAGCAUGGAAUAAUGAAAUAGGACGUUUGAUUCUAUUUUGUUGGUUUCUAGGAUCGACGUAAUGAUUAAUAGGGAUAGUUGGGGGCAUUAGUAUUCAAUUGUCAGAGGUGAAAUUCUUGGAUUUAUUGAAGACUAACUACUGCGAAAGCAUUUGCCAAGGAUGUUUUCAUUAAUCAAGAACGAAAGUUAGGGGAUCGAAGACGAUCAGAUACCGUCGUAGUCUUAACCAUAAACUAUGCCGACUAGGGAUCGGAUGAUGUUAAUUUUUUAAUGACUCAUUCGGCGCCUUACG